rnacentral:rRNA from 1 species
UACGAAGGGGGCUAGCGUUGUUCGGAAUACUGGGCGUAAGGCGCGCGUAGGCGGUCAUGUAAGUCAGGGGUGAAAUCCCAGAGCUUAACUCUGGAAUGGCCUUUGAGACUGCAUGGCUCGAGAGCGGGAGAGGUGAGUGGAAUUCCCAGUGUAGAGGUGAAAUUCGUAGAUAUCGGGAGGAACACCGGUGGCGAAGGCGGUUCUCUGGGCCUUACCUGACGCUGAGGAGCGAAAGCGUGGGGAGCGAACAGG